AUGGUCACAGAUGGGAAAGCAAGGAUCAAGGCAGUUGUACAACUAGCAGAGUUGGGAGAGGAUGUGAGAAAACCGGGAGAUGCUCUCCGCUUCUCCUGCAAAGCCUCUGGGUUCACCGUCAGCAGCUACUGGGUGAAUUGGGUCCAUCAGGCUCCUGUGAAGGGACUGGAGUGGGUGUCCACGGUUACCAGUGAUGGCAGCCAAGCCUACUACUCCCCGGCUGUUCUUGGGAGGUUCACCGUCUCCAGGGACAAUCCCAGCAGCUUGAAACCUGAAGCCACUGCCGUGUGUUACUGUUCCCGACACACAGUGAGGAAAACCAGGUUAUUGUCCUUGCAAGAGCACAUCAAGCAUGUGUUAGCAAAGGGAGCGGCGGUGGAGCAGAAAUACUGA